CAAAGAUUAACCAUGCAUGNCUAAGAAUAACCAACUAUACUGUGAAAACUGCGAAUGGCUCAUUAAAUCAGUUAUCGUUUAUUUGAUAGUACCUUACUACAUGGAUAACCGUGGUAAUUCUAGAGCUAAUACAUGCUAAAAAACCGUCGACUUCGGAAGGGGUGUAUUUAUUAGAUAAAAAACCAAUGCCCUUCGGGGCUCCCUGGUGAUUCAUAAUAACUUAACGAAUCGCAUGGCCUUGCGCCGGCGAUGGUUCAUUCAAAUUUUCUGCCCUAUCAACUUUCGAUGGUAGGAUAGUGGCCUACCAUGGUUUCAACGGGUAACGGGGAAUUAGGGUUCUAUUCCGGAGAGGGAGCCUGAGAAACGGCUACCACAUCCAAGGAAGGCAGCAGGCGCGCAAAUUACCCAAUCCCGACACGGGGAGGUAGUGACAAUAAAUACUGAUACAGGGCUCUUUCGAGCCUUGUAAUUGGAAUGAGUACAAUUUAAAUCCCUUAACGAGGAACAAUGGAGGGCAAGUUUGGUGAGAAUUAGUAUCGCGGACGCNAGAAAUAAUUUGAAAUUNGUCGAUCUGCACACGUAANUUGGGCGUGNAGCGNCAAGACAACCUGGAUNGGGGAAGGCUAAGGGCUUCAAGCCUAUGCUAAUCCCGAGCCGAGCUGCCACGGGGUGACCCGUGGCCAGCCGGUGUAGAGCGCGGAAAGGUGUCGGUCACUCUAAGGAANNNCAGGUGGNNNAAGGGACGUGCCAGUCUCACGCGAAAGCGUGCUUUGUAGCGUGAGCCCCCAAGGGUGAGCGUUANGAGGGUGUANUCCUGAUUGCAGAGGUNANNGUAGCAUCAUAUUCGGCCAGCAGCCGCGGUAAUUCCAGCUCCAAUAGCGUAUAUUAAAGUUGUUGCAG
rnacentral:rRNA from 1 species